AGACUCACGGGGCAGGGGAGACACGAUGAUCACGAAGGUGGUUUUCCCAGGGCGAGGCUUCUCCAUGUGCCCCGGAUGUGCUGAGCCCUGUCAUUUCCCCGAAUGUGGGAAACUCGACCGCACAAUUUGUGGUAGUGGGUGACCGCGUUCGUCCUCUCCCC